rnacentral:tRNA from 1 species
GCCAAUGUGGUGUAGUGGUUUGAGCACUGGAUUAUGACUCUGGAGACUAGGGUUCAAAUCCCCACUCAGCCA